GACGAACGCUGGCGGCGUGCCUAAUACAUGCAAGUCGAACGCAGUGGGGACGGGUGAGUAACACGUGGGUAACCUCCCAUCAGAGGGGAUAACACUUGGAAACAGGUGCUAAACCGAUACUGAUGGAUGGACCCGCGGUGCAUUAGCUAGUUGGUGGGGUAACGGCCCACCAAGGCGACGAUCCGUAGCUGGUUUGAGAGGGAGACCGGCCAACCUGGGACUGAGAAACGGCCCAGACUCCUACGGGAGGCAGCAGUGGGGAAUUUUUGACAAUGGGGGAAACCCUGAUCCAGCCAUCCCGCGUGUGCGAUGAAGGGCUUCGGGUUGUAAAGCACUUUUGGCAGGGAAGCGGUACCUGCAGAAUAAGCACCGGCUAACUACGUGCCAGCAGCCGCGGUAAUAC
rnacentral:rRNA from 1 species